rnacentral:tRNA from 1 species
GCACUGGUGGCUCAACGUCAAAGCGCCGGUCUUGUAAACCGGAUAUUGGGGGUUAAACUCCCCCCCAGUGCU